GAUGAACGCUAGCGAUAGGCCUAACACAUGNAANUCGAGGGGCAGCAUAAAGGUAGCAAUACUUUGGUGGCGACCGGCGCACGGGUGAGUAACGCGUAUGCAACCUACCUACUACAAGGGGAUAACCCGGAGAAAUUCGGACUAAUACUCUAUAAUACAGGGGUCCCGCAUGGGAAUAUUUGUUAAAGAUUUAUUGGUAGUAGAUGGGCAUGCGUUCCAUUAGGUAGUUGGUGAGGUAACGGCUCACCAAGCCAUCGAUGGAUAGGGGAACUGAGAGGUUUAUCCCCCACACUGGAACUGAGACACGGUCCAGACUCCUACGGGAGGCAGCAGUGAGGAAUAUUGGUCAAUGGAGGCAACUCUGAACCAGCCAAGUCGCGUGAAGGACGACGGCCCUACGGGUUGUAAACUUCUUUUGUAAGGGAAUAAAGUUUAGUACGUGUACUAUUUUGCAUGUACCUUACGAAUAAGGAUCGGCUAACUCCGUGCCAGCAGCCGCGGUAAUACGGAGGAUCCGAGCGUUAUCCGGAUUUAUUGGGUUUAAAGGGUGCGCAGGCGGGAUGUUAAGUCGGCGGUGAAAUUUUGCGGCUCAACCGUAAAAGUGCCUUCGAAACUGGCAUUCUUGAGUGUAGAUGAAGUAGGCGGAAUUUGUGGUGUAGCGGUGAAAUGCAUAGAUAUCACGAGGAACUCCGAUUGCGCAGGCAGCUUACUAAGCUACAACUGACGCUCAUGCACGAAGGCGUGGGGAUCAAACAGG
rnacentral:rRNA from 1 species